UUGAACGCUGGCGGCAUGCCUUACACCUGCAAGUCGCACGGCAGCACGGGUGCUUGCACCUGGUGGCGAGUGGCGAACGGGUGAGUAAUACAUCGGAACAUGUCCUGUAGUGGGGGAUAGCCCGGCGAAAGCCGGAUUAAUACCGCAUACGAGCUACGGAUGAAAGCGGGGGACCUUCGGGCCUCGCGCUAUAGGGUUGGCCGAUGGCUGAUUAGCUAGUUGGUGGGGUAAAGGCCUACCAAGGCGACGAUCAGUAGCUGGUCUGAGAGGACGACCAGCCACACUGGGACUGAGACACGGCCCAGACUCCUACGGGAGGCAGCAGUGGGGAAUUUUGGACAAUGGGCGAAAGCCUGAUCCAGCAAUGCCGCGUGUGUGAAGAAGGCCUUCGGGUUGUAAAGCACUUUUGUCCGGAAAGAAAUCCUUGGCCCUAAUACGGUCGGGGGAUGACGGUACCGGAAGAAUAAGCACCGGCUAACUACGUG
rnacentral:rRNA from 1 species